AGAAGUGAACCACACCCCCAUCACAUGCCCUGAGAUGGGGACAAGGGAACUUUUUCUGUUUCAGUAGUUGAAGAGCACACAGAAGGGAUCUACUUAGCAAGAUCAAGGAAGAUUUCCACAAGGAAGUGCGGACCGAGCUAAGAUAUGAUGAAGGAACAGGAAUUAAAUACAUAACAGAGUGUGAGGGCAGGAGGCAAGCAUAAGGGUCAGGCUUCCAAAAAGGUCAGUCUGAUUACAGCAGACGGAGCAAGAAUCAGGGUUAAAGCAGAAGAGACUUCAAGGAAGGAAGGAGGCAGAUCAUGCAGAUCUUUUACAAAAAUCCGUGGUCACAAAUUUUCACCCAGCUCUGUGAGUUAGACAAUAUUCUCACUUUGUAGAAUAGCAAGAUGAAGCUCAAAACUGAGAAACUGGACUAUGGUCACAGAGCCGGAUCUCCUCGCAGUCUCCCUACCUUUCAGGUUGCCUGUGAAGUACUGUUAAAGAAAGCAGGAAACUGUGACUAAAUGAAGAUCACAGAGCCAGUUGAUCAGUGGGGAAGCUGCAUCUGAAAUCCAGGACUUCUAGAUCCUGGGUCAACUGGUGCCAAUGAGGAACAUCUGUAGCACAGUGUGUAGACAUCUUGUCACCCGAAGAGCAACCAGAGGACGUAGAAAAUGGACCUGAUCUCAGAUGAGACAAAAUAGAGCAUGUCACUAAGGGAGGACACUGUUUCAAGAUUCCUGCGCCAGCUCCUUCGUUGUUAUAGAAGUUGGACUAAAUAAAAGGGAUUUUCAAAGAUGUUUGGAAAUGUGAUCCAUUAGCUAUAGCAGCCAUGAAGAUGUAGGACAAUUGAUUUGGGUAGAAGGUGAAGAAAAAUGUUGAUAGAUUCAGGAUCCAUUCUGUUAGAGGAGACUCACCCACACCAAAGAGUCCUGGCCACACUGAGGUAGAGAAGAAGGCUAUGAGGCCCUCUGGACCAGAUGCACACUGCUCUGGAGUUGGAUGGAACAGCUCAGUUUCAGCGUGGGAACAGGAGGAAAAAGAGGAAUGCAAGAAGGGCUUGUGAGGGUACAUCUGCAACUAGAACUGAAGAUUGGACAGUUCCCACAUAGGCAAAUUCUGUUAAGGUAAUCACAAGCGUACAGAUAACAGGCAGGCAGGAAUGUGAAAAUCAGAGAGAAGAGAGAUGUGCACCAGAAGCUGGAGUAAUGUGCUUUGAAGAUGGAGGAAGGGACCAUAAAUCAAGGAAUGCAGACAGCCUGUAGAAGCUGGGAAAGGCAAGGAUGUGGAUUCACUCGAGUCUCUAGAAGAAACGCAACCCCGCCAACACCUUGAUUUGAGGACGUCUGACCUUCAGAAUGAGAAAAUGAUACAUUUGUGUUGUAAGCCACCCAGUUUGUGAAAUAUGUAUCAACAAUUGAAAACUAGUACAUAGUCAAAUACUCAAUCUCUGUUUUUUUUAGCUUAUCAUUUUCAAUCUCUGUCUCCAACCCACAAACCACAUGCAUCAUAAAUAAAUUAAAAUACCAAAACUUUUGGCAGGCAUGCCAUGAACUGGAAAAUGUUUUUGAGAUCAAGGAAAAGCAGCAAAAAGGAAGGCGUUACUACUUAA
rnacentral:lncRNA from 1 species